UAAAUAGCUAUUAUUUAUUUUAAUUAGUUUAAUGAAUUUUAUUAAAGUAAAUUAAUAUUAGUAUAGGGAUAGAAAAUUUUUUAUUUAUAAAAAUUAAUUAGUAAUGUAAAUGAAUUAAUGUAUUAGGGUAAAAGAAUAUUUAAUUUAUAGUAUCUUGUGUAUCAGAGUUUAUUUAAAAUAAUUUAUAUAAGAUAAAAAUCUCGAAAUCUUAAGGGUUCUAUUAAAGUAUUAUUAAUGUUAUAUAAUUUUAAUUAAAUUUAAUAUGGGAAUGAAAAGUUAAUCGUUUAAUAUUAUAUCUAGUUUUUUUAGAAUAAAUUUAAUUUGUUUUAAUUUAUAAAUAUAAAUUUUAUAUUAAUAGAUUUAUUAGGGAUAAGCUUAAUAAAAAUUUAAAUUUAAGAAUAAUAUAUUUAAAAUAAAUAGGAUUAAUAUUUUUCAUUAAUAAUAAUUUUUUUGAAAUAAUUUUGUUUUGAGUAAAGAUUUUUUUUUGAUUAAGUUGGUUAUAAAAAUAUUAUUUAUUAAUAAAAUUUAAAAAGAAAUAAUGAUAAAAUUAGUAAAUUGAAAUUAAUAUUAUUUAAAUUAUAUAAAGAUAGAUUUAUGAAUUAGGCAAAUUUAUUUUCACCUGUUUAAUAAAAACAUGGUUAUUUGAAUAGAAUAAAUAAUUGAACCUGCCCAUUGAUGGUAUUUAAAGGCUGCAGUAUUUUAACUGUACAAAGGUAGCAUAAUCAUUAGUUUUUUAAUUGAGAACUUGUAUGAAUGGUUUGAUGAAAAAUAAACUUUAUUAAUUUAUAAGAUAGAAAUUUUUUAUUAAGUGAGAAAACUUAGAUUGAUAAGAAAGACGAUAAGACCCUAUAAAAUUUUAUUAUUAUAAAUAAUUUUAAAGUAUUUUGAUAAGUUAAUUGGGGUAAUUGUAUAAUUUAUUUUAUAUAUGUUUUAUAUUAUUAUGAUAAUAAUAUUGAUCUUGAUUAAAGGAUAGAAGAAAUAAUUGCUUUAGGGAUAACAGCGUAAUAUUUUUUUAUAGUUCAUAUAGAAAAAAGGGUUUGCGACCUCGAUGUUGGAUUUAAAUAAAUUUAAAAGUGAAGAUAUUUUUUUUUUUAGUCUGUUCGACUUAAUUUUUAACAUGAUCUGAGUUAAAAUCGGUGUGAGCCAGAUUGGUUUCUAUCUUCUUAAUAAUAAUUUUUUAAAGUACGAAAGGAAAUUUAAUUUAAUUUAAAAUUUUUAUUAGAAUAUUAUAAUU
rnacentral:rRNA from 1 species